UAAUACAGAGGGUGCGAGCGUUAAUCGGAUUUACUGGGCGUAAAGGGCGCGUAGGUGGUUGUGUAAGUGAGAUGUGAAAUCCCUGGGCUUAACCUAGGAACUGCAUCUCAUACUGUAUAGCUAGAGUAUUGUAGAGGGUAGUGGAAUUUCCGGUGUAGCGGUGAAAUGCGUAGAGAUCGGAAGGAACACCAGUGGCGAAGGCGGCUACCUGGACAAAUACUGACACUGAUGCGCGAAAGCGUGGGGAUCAAACAGGAUUAGAUACCCUGGUAGUCCACGCUGUAAACGAUGAAAACUAGAUGUUGGGCAGCAUGACUGUUUAGUAUCGAAGCUAACGCGAUAAGUUUUCCGCCUGGGGAGUACGGUCGCAAGAUUA
rnacentral:rRNA from 1 species